AGCCCUAAGGUGUUUUUCCACAUGUAAGAUUGCAAAUCUUAAGAGGCAGACUAAUCCCUGCUAGGGCUU
rnacentral:tRNA from 1 species